CAUGUUCUAAUUCUGCCUUUCAAUUGAAAAUUUACCAUCUCCAGGAAAUGAUUGCCCAUGUUCCAACCUUUCAUCCUUGAAACCUAAGUGGCAUGAACCACCAUCAUCAACACAAAAUUGCAUUGAAAGUUCUACUAUAUCUCUGGCAGCUAGGCUUGCAUGUUCUCUAAACUCAGUCACUGCUUGAGCAGCAGAGGUAGCAUCCUUAAAUUUCAUGUUCCAAUUCUGCCUGCCAACAGAAAUAUUACCAUUACCAUCUCUAGGAAAUGAUUGCCCAUGUUCCAACCUUUCAUCCUUGAAACCUAAGUGCAUGAACCACCAUCAUCAACACAAUAUUUCCUUGAAAGUUCUACAACAGCUCUGGCAGCUAGGCUUGCAAGUUCUGCAAAGUCAGUCGCUGCUUGAGCAGCAGGGGUAGCAUCCUUAAAUUUCAUGUUCCAAUUCUACCUGCCAACAGAACAAUUACCAUUACCAUCUCCAGGAAAUGAUUUCCCAUGUUCCAACCUUUCA
rnacentral:lncRNA from 1 species